CCAAUCUUUUUUCGGCUUCGAGAGCCUCAGAAGAGCGAGAGGACCGUGCGGCUGCGCGGACUGAAGGCGUGGGGCGACUGCGUACGGAAUCCAGAGAGUCAAUGGUGCGGCCUUCGAAACUCCGUGUACAUACGCAGUAGCAAUGUAUUUGCGUGAAAAGGUGCGCCGUGGCCCGGGGCCGCUUCAGGCGCGUCGCUUCGGGCGGAAAGGCGGCCAUCGCCUUGCGCACGGCGUUUCGGACGCGGGCAAAGAGGAAAGGGGGUUCGGCUGCGAAAGAACGAGGCGUCUCUCAGGUUGCGCGUGGAACUUGACGACGAGGCAGCUGAGAGCGAGCUUUUUGAACUACUUUGAGCGAAAGGGACACCUGGUGGUGCCGUCGUCCAAGCUCGUGCCGGAAGGCGAUUCGGACUUGUUGUUUACGACCGCCGGAAUGGUCCAAUUCAAGGAUUGCUUUUUAGGUGAAAGGGAGCCGACACAUCCUCGGCUGGCUUCAGCCCAGAGGUGCGUUCGAGCCGGCGGAAAGCACAACGACUUGGAAAGUGUAGGUCACACGGCGAGACACCACACUUUUUUCGAGAUGUUGGGUAGUUUUAGUUUUGGCGAUUAUGACGAACGCGAGGCAGUGUCACUUGCUUGGGAAUAUUUGACCCGAGAGUUGCAGCUGCCGGCGGAGCGGCUAAGCGUCAGCAUUCUGGAGGGAGACGAGAGGACAGCAGACACGUGGAGAUCUGUUGUCGGGCUGCCGGACGCCAAAAUUCGAAGGUUGGGUUCAGAAGACAACUUUUGGAGCAUGGGAGACACGGGGCCAUGCGGCCCCUGCACAGAGAUCUUUUGGGACCAGAUCGAGCCGGUCGAUGGUGAGAGGUAUUUGGAGAUAUGGAAUUUGGUGUUCAUGCGGUACACUAGACACCGAGAAGGGAACGAUUGCUCGCCCCUCCUCAGGCCAUGUAUCGACACUGGCAUGGGCUUGGAGAGGUUGUCGUCCGUCGUUCAGGGCAAAAGGGACAACUAUGAAACCGACGUCUUCUCGUCCUUGAUCGCAGGAGCAAGAAGCGUCUUAGAGAGAUCUUUAAAAAAAGGGUCGAAAGGACAAAAUUGCGCCCCGUUUUCGCUCGAAACGGUGUUGCGCGUGAUUGCAGACCACGUGCGCUCGUCCAGUCACCUGUUGUCGGAGGGACUGAUGCCUGGAACUCAAGGGCGGCCGUAUGUCUUGCGCAGGAUCAUUCGCCGCGCGGCUUGGUAUGCAUACAGCGUCGGCGUCAGAGAGCCCGUCCUGUCCGACGUUUUUUUAGUUUACUUGAGUGCCGUGUCGAAAGACCACCCAGACCUCUCGGAACACCAACCACACAUUCGACACAUGCUCACUCGCGAAGAAUUGGCCUUCUUUUCGGUGAUGGAACGAGGCGCGGCCGAAUUCCAAAAACAGUUGGCGGAUUGCCGUCGUCACGGACGAACAGUCGUGCCAAAAGAGUGUCUCUUCUAUAUGCACGACGUUUUUGGAUUCCCGCUGGAACUUAGCGAAUACAUGGCUCAGAGUCAGGGACUGUCGGCCGAUCGAGAGGGAUUCGAGGAGUUGCUAUCACGGGCCAGAAAACAGGGUCGCGCCUCUUCGUUUCCAAAAAAUUCAGGCGACGUGCGACGGUUGGACACCUCGUGGGCCGACUUUUCGCCGAAAUUCACGGGUCACGAUCGAGCAGAAGAGCCCUACUCCAAAAUUCUGGCCUCCCGCCCCGGCGAACCGCACGAAGAGCAUUGCGUGUGGGUUUCGAUCGACCCCUGCCCGUUCUAUCCAGAAGGGGGCGGCGUUCUAGGGGACCGAGGCUACUUGACAGUCGAAAAGUGGAAACUCCAAGUUUCGGACACAAUACGUCCGCACACAAAAGGAAUCGCGCUGAAGGUCGUUCUACCCUCAUCUCUUUCCGAUCGCCAAUUGGCGAAAUCUCUGCUGCUUCAACCUGGUACGGUUGUCGGCGCGUUCGUCGAUCCCACUUGGAGGCGGCGAACGCGACAAAACCACACCGCUACCCACCUACUUCACAGCGCUCUGAAAAGCGUCCUUGGACCCCACGCGAACCAGGCCGGGUCGCGCGUGUCCGACGUACAAAUCAGACUCGACGUAACUCAUCACAACGCGAUCACACCCUCGCAGCUAUUGCAAAUCGAGGAGUGGGUUAAUUGUGUUAUUCUGGAAAAUGUCAGAAUUUCAGUCGAGCACGUGUCCUAUCAAGAGGCCCUGUCGCAGAACGCAACUGCCCUCUUUAGCGAGAGGUAUGACAAGGAAGGGCUGGUGCGAGUGGUGAAGGUUGGCAAUCAUUCUGUUGAGCUGUGCGGGGGAAUUCACGUAAAGGAGACAUCGGAAAUCGGCUGCUUCAAAAUUAUCGGCGAGCACUCUGCCGGCACGGGCGUUCGUCGUUUGGAGGCUCUAACUGGCUUGGAGGCAUUUCGGUGGCUUCACUCCAGAUCGUCUGUCCUCGACCGAGUCGCGGAAGCGCUCCAGUGCAAAAAAAGCGACACCGACGCGCUCAUAUCAACUGUAGAGAACUUGGUGGCCGAUUUGAGAGCGGCCGAGAAGGAUUUGUACACUCUGAAGAAAGCCUGGCUCCGCUCUGUAACGCACAAAAAUAUUGUGUCAAAUUCAAUCGGGCCGUCUCCGAUCGAGUGGCGCGACUCCAACGCGUAUGCCAGAUACCAGAUUUUGUAUGGAAAUGCCGUUCUGGUUGUCCAUCUGUAUAAUUUCGGCAAGGUCGCGUGCGACGCGAAACUUGCGAGAGACGCCUGCGAUCUUGUCAGAGAACAAGAUCCACAUAACAUCCACGUCAUCAUCUUAGAAGACCGUGUGCUCAUGUGCUGCAAAGAGCCGAAAGAUUCUAGUCAGCUUAAGAAACUGCUUCUGGAAUUCGGAGUGAAAGGUGGCGGGAGCCCAACUCUGGUGGAGGGAAGGUGCGACAGGAACACACUUCUAAGGCUUCUGGAUAAGUACGCCAAACACCCCUAGAGGCCCUGACGUCUAUCACCUCCUGGGAGAGGGUCGAAAUUUGUCGCCUACCGUCGUAGCGACAGAAUCUGGUACAACAUCUGAAAACAAAAAUAAAAAGCAACUUGCACCUGCUUAACGCCAAGUCUACACUACCAAUGCCUAACGAACGAUGCAUGCGCGCACUUCACGCUAUUCAAGAGCUCAUCUCACAUUUGACACCUCGGAAAAUGGCACUUUUGUCAGAUCACACACUUUUCGGUCUCUGAUCCAACUGUUAUUUUUUUCACCAUUUUACAUCUGGAUUUCGAUACCUCCUAUCAUUUUUUUCAAUUACCAUUUGAGCGCGAAUAUAUCGCGAAGCAGCAGGACUCCUCAUUAAGGGCUCAUAUUGCAAAAAAGAUGGAUACUGCGCUUAAAGGUGACAGCAGUAGCAGUUGCUGUCGACAAGGAGUUGUAGGAAAAAUAGCAUCCGAACUGAUGAGACUACAAGAAGACACUCGCAUAAAGCUUAAAUAUAUCUUUUCAGAAUUUGCUGUCACUGACUCAUACCACAAGCUUUCUUUCGAUUUAGUACAACUUCUCAAACCGUCGUUCGUUGCUCUGCUACUAGAGUACUGUCAACAGCACCAAAUUACGGCGGAGUUCAUCAACGAUCAAUUCCCAAUUCUUAUGUGCCACGCAAAAUGCGAUGAAGCACUUCCUCGUCAAAAAGAAGACGACAAAGCCCUCUCCGGAGAAGAUUCGGACAUCACACUGGAAUCCGAGUCAUCUGUUCAAGAAUUCUCGCCCGAAGAUGAUUUGACAGCCGCCUCCAAGCUAGACGAAAACUGCGUCAUUUCCAAACCAUCACAAUCAAAAGCAGGUCGGCCAUCAAAUAAGCAAAAGAUGAUUGGCGCAAGAAAACUAGGAAAUAUGUGGCUCAAAGAAGAAAGUUUAGAAUUAACAAGUAUAGUCCUGUCUGGUGCCCCCUGUACUUGGCCCAGAGUUGCUGCACUGCUCAACAGCAAAUUUCAUCGCAACAAAACGCCCGCCAUGUGUCAUCAACACUACCGUAGAGUCGCGGACCCAAACAUAAAACAAACGGAAUGGACUCCAGAAGAAGACUCUAAACUCAUCGAUGCAUACGCCAAAUACAAAUGUAAAUGGUCCAAAAUUUCAGCGGUCAUAGACGGACGUCCGGACACUCAAUGUCGGCGCAGAUGGUUCAGACUUCAGCAGUUGGAAGAUAGAAAUAACAACAGAAAAAAAUCAAAAAAGAUGGUCGCCUCUAAAAACAACAAUGUGUCUCAGCAAUAGAGCUGGUUCUUUUAUCGCCUGAAUAGCUCUGUUUUUAUCGAUUCCAGUCUGCUUUUUCCAGACUCGUACGGUCGGUCAAACAACCGAAAUUUUGCAUAAACCUCUGUAUUUCCGACUCAGCUAUAGCACACACGUACAGCAACCGCUAUAUCUGCUCUCGUAGAAAUCAGUG